UACGGAGGGUCCAAGCGUUAUCCGGAAUCAUUGGGUUUAAAGGGUCCGUAGGCGGUUUUGUAAGUCAGUGGUGAAAGCCCAUCGCUCAACGGUGGAACGGCCAUUGAUACUGCAAGACUUGAAUUAUUAGGAAGUAACUAGAAUAUGUAGUGUAGCGGUGAAAUGCUUAGAGAUUACAUGGAAUACCAAUUGCGAAGGCAGGUUACUACUAAUGGAUUGACGCUGAUGAACGAAAGCGUGGGGAGCGAACAGG
rnacentral:rRNA from 1 species